UCAAAAUGGACAACUCCAAUAAUAACUAAAAAUUUCCACGAGUCAAACUAUAAUAAAUGUCAAACCGGCUCAAACCACAAUUUAAAAAUAUUUAAUACAACUCCAAAUCAACCAAUGUAUCACAACCUAAACAAAAUAUCUAAACCAUUGCAUAGAAGAGAUCUAUCAUCACACUUGCCCUUGAUACUCCUGAUUAUCUGCUGGAAGGAAAAACACAGCAUGAACCAAAUGCCCAGUACGGAUAUAUAGUGUAGAAAUAAUGAAUUGAAAUAACUAACUUAAUUAAAUGAACUGAAAUCAGAAAUAUACCUUGUAAUACAUGCAAGUCAAAUAAUGUCACACAAGCAAGUCAAAUAAAUGUCACAUAGGCAAGUCACAUAUAUUGGACCGCGAAUCCAAAUGCAAAUAAAAUAGGGAGGUGUGUUUGGCACAACAUAACCAAUUUGUAUAACAGAACAGAAAACUAGGGUAACCCAUACGCCUCCCACAACAAAAUCACGAAAUGACCAACUCCCACCGGAGCAUAAAACAGAGACGUCGUGGACUGGUCACAUCGUCACGGAAAGUGUCAUGUCUUGCUGCCAAGACGACAUGUGUGUGGUACCCCCACAGGUGGUUAUAGCUCAGGUAUACCCUAUGGUAUAUUAUAACAAAGAUAUAUGUCACAACACGUGGCAUAAUACCAACAAAAAAUGGGAUUCUAAUAUGUACAUGUCAAAUCAAAACGAAUCAUCAACACAAAACUCCAAAAUAUAUUGACAUGUACAUUUCUACAAAUAUCAAAAUAAAUAGCAGACAUGAUAAUCUAACUCAGAGUACAAAUACGAGUUCUAUGUAUCAACGCUAAAAUGAAACUAUUAUAUUAAUUUCACAAGAAACAAUUAUGUAAAAUAAUAACGAAAUUCAAAAUGAGGAACAAAACGAACUAAAUAAAAUUCAAGAGUAUUGAUGAAUGAAUACGAAAUCCUUACCUGAAUUAAGCAAUGCAAUACCCAAAAUUUAUAUUUCAAAUAUGAUUCGUUAAAUUCCCCUAGUCCGAUCUGUGGCACUCAAUGCUCGAGCAGAAAAGUCUCGACUUGCCAAAACAGUCCGCAGAUACAAUGAAUUCCCAGAAAUUCCGCAAUUUAGCCCUUAUAGAAAUGAUAAAUUUUGGGCUGCUUAGAACAGUGGGAGAGAAGAUAGAGUUUCAGAUUAUCUGACUUUGUUUGGGAAGAGAGAGAAGAUAUGGAGAGGGGGGUUUGCACAAAAAACAGAGAGAGAAAAAAGGGAGAGCUGAAAGAACAUGUUUUUGGGAUGUACUAAUAAAUAAAGAAGUUUAAAAAGAGAAGCAAUAUUCGGACAUAGUGGUUAUGCAACUGGAAGGUUCAGGCUUUAUAUAAAAUAAAUAGAAAAAGAAAAGUGAAAGUAAGCAGCACAUUAGAAUCAAAAGGGACAACCCAUUUGCCAGCCAAAUUUCAGAUAGUGCAACAUAUAUAAUAUGAAUCCAUUCAC
rnacentral:lncRNA from 1 species